AUUGAACGCUGGCGGCAGGCCUAACACAUGCAAGUCGAGCGGAUGACGGGAGCUUGCUCCUUGAUUCAGCGGCGGACGGGUGAGUAAUACCUAGGAAUCUGCCUGAUAGUGGGGGACAACGUUUCGAAAGGAACGCUAAUACCGCAUACGUCCUACGGGAGAAAGCAGGGGACCUUCGGGCCUUGCGCUAUCAGAUGAGCCUAGGUCGGAUUAGCUAGUUGGUGAGUUAAUGGCUCACCAAGGCGACGAUCCGUAACUGGUCUGAGAGGAUGAUCAGUCACACUGGAACUGAGACACGGUCCAGACUCCUACGGGAGGCAGCAGUGGGGAAUAUUGGACAAUGGGCGAAAGCCUGAUCCAGCCAUGCCGCGUGUGUGAAGAAGGUCUUCGGAUUGUAAAGCACUUUAAGUUGGGAGGAAGGGCAGUAAGCUAAUACCUUGCCGUUUUGACGUUACCGACAGAAUAAGCACCGGCUAACUCUGUGCCAGCCGCCGCGGUAAUAC
rnacentral:rRNA from 1 species